rnacentral:misc_RNA from 1 species
AAGUCAUAACAAGGUCUCCAUUAGUAAACCAGCAAAGGGAUCAUUACCAAGUACUAUAACUCAUAACCCUUUAUAAACCUUCAUACCUAUUACUUCAGCGGCGCGCCUCUCAGGGCAUACCCGCCAGCAUUAUCAGAAUCUCUAUUCAAACCCAACAAUACUUCUAAGUAUUCUAAGCAAACUAUUAAAACUUUCAACAACGGAUCUCUUAGCUCCAA